CCUACGGGUGGCAGCAGUGGGGAAUAUUGGACAAUGGGGGGAACCCUGAUCCAGCCAUGCCGCGUGUGUGAAGAAGGCCCUCGGGUUGUAAAGCACUUUCAGUGAGGAAGAACGCCUGGUGGUUAAUACCCAUCAGGAAAGACAUCACUCACAGAAGAAGCACCGGCUAACUCCGUGCCAGCAGCCGCGGUAAUACGGAGGGUGCGAGCGUUAAUCGGAAUUACUGGGCGUAAAGCGCGCGUAGGUGGCUUGAUAAGCCGGUUGUGAAAGCCCCGGGCUCAACCUGGGAAUGGCAUCCGGAACUGUCAAGCUAGAGUGCAGGAGAGGAAGGUAGAAUUCCCGGUGUAGCGGUGAAAUGCGUAGAGAUCGGGAGGAAUACCAGUGGCGAAGGCGGCCUUCUGGACUGACACUGACACUGAGGUGCGAAAGCGUGGGUAGCAAACAGGAUUAGAUACCCCUGUAGUC
rnacentral:rRNA from 1 species